rnacentral:rRNA from 1 species
UACGAAGGGGGCUAGCGUUGCUCGGAAUCACUGGGCGUAAAGCGCACGUAGGCGGAUUGUUAAGUCAGGGGUGAAAUCCUGAAGCUCAACUCCAGAACUGCCUUUGAUACUGGCGAUCUUGAGUUCGGGAGAGGUGAGUGGAACUGCGAGUGUAGAGGUGAAAUUCGUAGAUAUUCGCAAAGAACACCAGUGGCGAAGGCGGCUCACUGGCCCGAUACUGACGCUGACGGUGCGAAAGCGUGGGGAGCAAACGG